GACGAACGCUGGCGGCGUGCUUAACACAUGCAAGUCGAACGGUGAAGCUCCAGCUUGCUGGAGUGGAUCAGUGGCGAACGGGUGAGUAACACGUGAGCAACCUGCCCCUGACUCUGGAAUAAGCGCUGGAAACGGCGUCUAAUACUGGAUACGAGAAGGGUCCGCAUGGGCACUUUCUGGAAAGUUUUUCGGUUGGGGAUGGGCUCGCGGCCUAUCGGCUUGUUGGUGAGGUAAUGGCUCACCAAGGCGACGACGGGUAGCCGGCCUGAGAGGGCGACCGGCCACCCUGGGACUGCGACACGGCCCAGACGCCUACGGGAGGCAGCAGUGGGGAAUAUUGCACAAUGGGCGAAAGCCUGAUGCAGCGACGCCGCGUGAGGGAUGACGGCCUUCGGGUUGUAAACCUCUUUCAGCAGGGAAGAAGCGAAAGUGACGGUACCUGCAGAAGAAGCACCGGCUAACUACGUG
rnacentral:rRNA from 1 species